UCCUACGGGGGGCAGCAGUAGGGAAUCUUCCACAAUGGGCGAAAGCCUGAUGGAGCAACGCCGCGUGGGUGAAGAAGGUCUUCGGAUCGUAAAACCCUGUUGUUAGAGAAGAAAGUGCGUGAGAGUAACUGUUCACGUUUCGACGGUAUCUAACCAGAGAGCCACGGCUAACUACGUGCCAGCAGCCGCGGUAAUACGUAGGUGGCAAGCGUUAUCCGGAUUUAUUGGGCGUAAAGGGAACGCAGGCGGUCUUUUAAGUCUGAUGUGAAAGCCUUCGGCUUAACCGGCGUAGUGCAUUGGAAACU
rnacentral:rRNA from 1 species